rnacentral:rRNA from 1 species
UGGGGAAUUUUGGACAAUGGGCGCAAGCCUGAUCCAGCCAUGCCGCGUGAGUGAUGAAGGCCUUAGGGUUGUAAAGCUCUUUCACCCACGACGAUAAUGACGGUAGUGGGAGAAGAAGCCCCGGCUAACUUCGUGCCAGCAGCCGCGGUAAUACGAAGGGGGCUAGCGUUGUUCGGAUUUACUGGGCGUAAAGCGCGCGUAGGCGGACCGUUAAGUCGGAGGUGAAAGCCUGGGGCUCAACCCCAGAACUGCCUUCGAUACUGGCGGUCUCGAGUCCGGGAGAGGUGAGUGGAACUGCCAGUGUAGAGGUGAAAUUCGUAGAUAUUGGCAAGAACACCAGUGGCGAAGGCGGCUCACUGGCCCGGUACUGACGCUGAGGUGCGUAAGCGUGGGGAGCAAACA